rnacentral:rRNA from 1 species
CGAGAAAGCCCGCAAGGGUGAGUAAAGCGGCGCACGGGUGCGUAACACGUGGGUAAUCUGCCCUGGAGUCCGGAAUAACUCGCCGAAAGGCGCGCUAAUGCCGGAUGAGACCACGGGAGCCUCGGCUCCUGCGGGAAAAGGUGGCCUCUGUAUACAAGCUAUCGCUCUAGGAUGAGCCCGCGGCCCAUCAGCUCGUUGGCGGGGUAAUGGCCCACCAAGGCUACGACGGGCAGCUGGUCUGAGAGGACGAUCAGCCACACUGGAACUGAGACACGGUCCAGACUCCUACGGGAGGCAGCAGUGGGGAAUCUUGCGCAAUGGGCGAAAGCCUGACGCAGCAACGCCGCGUGUGUGAUGAAGGUCUUCGGAUCGUAAAGCACUGUCGCGAGGGACG